rnacentral:lncRNA from 1 species
AAAAAAUGGUGCGCCUCCUUUUCAAUUUCAGACCGUGACCUUACAUUCUGGAUAUCUUCGUCUGCUCGUAGAUGAAGAAUGGAUAUCCUCUUCCAUCUAUCUCAGUAAAAAAAAAAACAAUGCAUUAAGACUAAAUAAAAAAAAAAGUAAUGAAUCUGCAAGCGUGGAGCUCUUCAUUCAUUAGCAUAAAAGUGUGCCAUUUUCCAAUUCAUCAAAUAUCCAUCACCGUCAACAUGAUUAAAAGCAAAUAUGCUAUGCAAAGAAAAAACCGUUUAAGCCAAAGUGAAAGAAAAAUGAGUGGCUGCUGGAAGCCUUUCAUUCAACCAUUGCCCUUGAGCAUGAACAUCCUCCAAGCUCUCUCUCCAAAAGAAACGUCCAGCCAAAUCCUCCUCCCACCAAAGUGACG